GUACUAUGAUCAUAGGCUCAAGAUCAACUAUCAUUAUAUUAAACACUAUGAACUGAAACUUUGCUUGUCUCUCUGAUUUUGAUUAAUGAUUACAGAGUUUACAAGGGCUUUUAGGUUAUUUAGCCUCUGGAAAGUGGGGGUAUUGAAAUAUAUUUCUCGGCUGAUCACUAAUAAUCUCUUCUGCUUAUUCACCUCUGGUAUGCCCAGAGAUCCGUGUUUGCCAAACUUUUAAUGUUGCAUUCCUUAAAAGACUUAUGGCACAUGAGUUAUGUUCUCGGCACACUGAUUUUGACUACGAAUAACUCCGUUUACCUGAUCAAAAUAUAGAGCUCACGGCGGGUUUGACCGGUCGACAGGGGAGGCUUACUCCUCCUAGGCACCUGAUCCCACCUCCUAUUGAAUACAUACUAUAGUUCAUUCUUGAAGCAAGUGUACACCGGAUAAAGGUAUAAGUGUCAUAUUCAAAAGUAUUUUACUCGAUGUUAAAAAUCCAAGUUCUUCCAAAUCCCAAUCCUGCAAACGUUCUGGUCAUGCAAGUGAAUACCUUUCAUCUAAUAACCACUUGUCAGUGGCUUAAAGAAUCGAAAUGAAUGAAAAACAAAAUAGAACCUGUUGUACAAUCAGACUGGUAUCGAAAAAUGUACUUUGGAAUUUCCUCACGUGUUUCUAUAUUUAGAAACAACUGGUUUUGAUAUAUAGCAAUAAUUCGCAAUGAUGCAUAGCAGUAGUUAUGGAAGUUUGAUGCCUUAUAAAAUAAUUGCAAUACUUAAAAAAUAUUUUUUUUUAGCUAUAUCAUCAAAACAUACAUUAAAUUUAAAGAAUAUUAAUGUUUUGCUCUGAUUGCAUCUAUUUAUAACAAGGACAAAGCCCUAUUUAGGCUGAACUUGGGAAUUACAGAUAAAAUAUGCAGUUUGGUGCAGCAUUACAACUUAAAUGGAGAUCAAAAUUUUAUGUAAUGAUAUGAAUUAUAAAGAUCAAUUUAAGUUUUAACAUAUAUAUAAAAUUCACUGAUGACAUUUCAUAUCUAAUAUAUUAAGUAAGUAGUUGAAAUUAUGACCAUAGUGAGUUUAACCAAUAUCUUGUUUACUUGAUAUUUUUAUCUAAACAUAAUUUAUAAGGUUUUAUUUUAUUGGUAAUAAAUAAAUUUUACUGUAAAUGAAUAUUAUAAAGUCAAUGAAAAAAUGAAAAACAUAAAACUACUGACAUACCUUAAAUGAAAAAAAAAUAUUACAAGAUUAUGAGAAUGUUUGGAAGAGUUAUAUCCCGUAAUGCCGCUCUUUAUUCAAGUACGGGAAAACAUGGCGAGCAGACGCGACAUGCAUCAUAUAUUGCAUUAGAUGUGUCAUUUCAGCGGUUUUUCGAACACUGCGUUUAGUGAAUGCCAUAUAUUUCAAAUAUAUGAAUGUAGGACGGAUGUGUCUUCUCACUUGCGACGGUUACAAUGCUCUGAACAACUUCCUGGACAGUAUAGUAAAUAUUUGGACGUGCUGGGGGCAAUCCUUCCGAUGUUUAGAAUUGUAAUAUUUCCGUGGACAAUGGCAUAUUAAGACUAAGAAUGUCAAAAGCAUCGAUCGAAUUUUGGGUAACAAUGGAGGAGAAAUAAAGCUAGGUGCUGUCAUUCAGACCACAACACAGAAAGAUAAAUCACAAUGAGGGACAACCCCUACACUUUGUCAACACUGGUUGAGAUCGUGACGGACAAUGUACCUAUGGUUGGAUCAGGUCAUACAGGAUUUUCCAAGAGAAAAGGAACACAGAGGAGGUACUGUUUUGCUCAAUCAACAACAUGACUGAUCAAAAGUCUGCUUGUCGUUCUACAAGAAGCACAGAUAAUAGUACUCAACAACAUCAUCCUUGUGAAAAGGCAAAGACAACGAACAGUGUAUCAAUCUCAAAACUCUCAUAAGAAUCAUCAUGCAAGAAUGUUGAAAAAGUUCUGGCAAUUUGAAAUCAUUCUUACAAUUUAAGUUGAAGAUCAAGUAUGGACAGAACAGCUGAUAUAUGUGUCUCAAAAUAUGACAGUAUUUCUCAUGAUCUGCUGAUAUAAAUAGUCAUUUCAGGAAUUGAUGAAAAUGGACUCCACCAAGAACUAGCAGAAAAAAGAACUGAAUGAAUGGUCUGUCAAGAACUUGAAAAUGAAAAAGUCAUUUCCAACUUUCAUCAACCCAAAAUAUGAUAAAAUGUCAUACUUAUCUUUUGGUGUCUCUUUUGCUUAUGCUGUCUGUUCUCUCUCACCACCUUCCUAUUUUAGAAAAACUUAUUACAAGUAAUAAAGAUGAUUUCUUUACCACUUUCAUCAACUCCCUUUUGCAUACACGUAUCUCUAAAAGUUGUCACCUGUGUUUCAGAUCAUUGAUUUCAAGCAUAAUAUACAACAUCUAUAAAAUAAGUAAUA